UUUUUGCUGAUGAACUGUAUAAAUGAGUGUCUAAUAGUGUUUUAAAUGUGUGCAUUCUUUAUUUUAGCAUUUUGGUGCAUUUUCUUUAAAAAUUAAAAAUUCUGUCUAAAAACCACAGUAAUGCGCCACCUUCAGCUGAAAACAUAGAAUUUUUGUCAUUUUGAAUAAAUUUUAGCCAAUGGCUAAAGAGUAAAGUACUACGUAAACCAGUAGAGUACUACGUAGCAGCUCCGUGCCAAAGUUAUAAAAGCAACGAGCGUCUCGGCCACGCCCUGUGGCGAGUGGGAGUUGGAUUUGCAAGCGAGCAUAGGAGGUCAGCGGUAGUUCAGCAUUAGCAUAUAGCAUUAGCAUAUCCUAGUCUUAGCAUAUCUUUUAGUGUUAUAAAUACUUAUUUAGUGUUAGAUUUGGCUGUUGGAUAUUGUAGUUGAGUUAGUGUUUGGCUGUUAGUGUAAUUGGGAAAGUAUUUCUGGUUUAGUGUUCCAUAUCGUCUUAGUAUUGGUGAGUAGGUGUAGUGUAGUAUGCUUGCGGUGACUCUGUGGGCAUUUUACCCGCGAUUCUGCGCGCCUCCGUUUGAAGAGGGAGGCUGCCCACCGUGGCUCUUCCGCGAUUUAGAUGCAGCCCACCGACUCUGCUCCCCCACCACGGCGGGCUCCAGUCUGAGGUGAGUCAGCUAAAUAAACGUUUUAACAUCUUCUAAAGACAAUUCCCUACCUAAAUGCAAAGUCUGAGAGACGUGGUUCACUUCCUUUAGCUAGUCAGUCGGCAAUUCUGCAACAGUGUCUCUAACUAACGCUGCACUAGUUGACAGACAGCAUUACAGCGUGAAAUCCAGCUUGUGAACAGGUUCUGUAAGGAAUUCUGUUCAGGAGGUCGCAUUUCAGGCUCUCCACAUCAUAUGUGAUGGACUUUUACGUUAUAACAACGAUCACACACUAGGAAUGUUAUAAAGCGCCUAUAUAGGAGAUUCUUUUAUAUAUUAUCUGACUUUAUAAACUCCAACAACAAUGUGCUUCUAUUUUUUUUUCAGGCUAAAUCUACCCAAGACACUGGCUGUCAGACUGAUUUAGCUGCAUGAAUGUACUUGUCCAGGCUGAUGUGAAACCUUCCCUGUAGCAAAGCCAUCCAGUUUAGAGCUCACAGCCGCAGUGUGUCUGGUGACCCACAGGGACCAUGAUGAAAAUUCAUCUUCCAGAAGGUCCCAGAGCGUCCAGACCCCCUGAAAAGACCAAGAUGUGAGGUGUCUGCUGUUGAUUCCAGCUUCCACCUCAGUGACAGUGCAAGCUCAGUGAACUGUUCAAGCCUGGCUGAUCACCUGAUAACCCCUGUCAUCUGGUUAUGACAGCAUGAGGAUGUCCUCACACACCUGUAACCUAUCAGCUCAUCCUGCUGAAUAGAGAGAGAAGAGACCACACCACAUCUCCUGUUCCUGGAAAGCCUUCAGCCAUCCUUCGAUGACUGAGAACCUCCAUCAGCUCUGUCUCCUGUCUGCCUACAAUUAUAAUAAAUAUUGUGUUUGACAAGUUUUUUGUGCUGCCAAAUAUCUCAUUUAGAUUCGUUUUGAUAUUUUAAUGGAUAUUUAUAAAUUACAUUGAAUAUCACAUUUUUGUUGCAUGUUUAACUAGCUCUAUUGUGAUUAAUUAAGCUAGCACCUCACUGUUAAAAGCUCGUUCUAAUUUCAAGCAUGUUUAAGUAUUUAUGGACAUGAACAAAAACAGGAAAUAUAUAAAUUGAGAUUUAUUUAAUUAAUAUAACAAAUAAGGGGGAAAGAGUCAUUGAAAGGCACGUUCUUCUGAAAGUUCCUGAUCCUGAUGACACCAGCAGAGGAGACCAGCUGCAGACACCAGAGACCAGCUGCAGACACCAGAGGACCUAGAACCAAGAGAGCAGCUGUUAUCAGUAAAUAAAUAAAGAAAUCAGGGCAGUUUUAGUGGGCUGAACACAUUACAGAAUAAUUUUCUCAUGGGGUAUUUUCAUAACUUUAUAUGCAGCAGACUGUAACUUGAGCCCAGAGCUACCGGAGAGCUGCUAUCCAGCACGUUUCAGUGGUUUUCCUGCUUUAACAGGUUAGAUUAACUGUUAAGCAGCUCAGCUAUUUGUUGCUGAUUAAAACCAGGUGUGCUGAAGCAGAUAAACCUCUAAAACAUGCUGAAUACUAGCUUUUUAGGGCCGUGGAGACAAACCCUGCAGCUAAUCCAAUGCUAUGGCUAACGGCUACUUACCUUUCAGAGGUGAUUCUGUUGGGUCGGUUCUGGGAGUUUCAGGCAACUCACAAGCUCAAAACAAUAAGACUCAGGUCCGCUUGUCUCCUCCAAAUAGACUUGGUCCCUUUCUUCUCGAGUGUCUGUGUAAGGAGGGGGAGAAACGUCCUCCACUUCUAAUAACUGCUCAGAGUGAAGGGAGCUAGCUUCGUCUAGUUAGCCAUCGUCUUCGUCACUGCCGCGGCUCCGCCCUCUCGGUCCUCCAGGCAACGCCUACUAAUGUUGCAUUUUUUAAAAUUGAUACGUGGGUGGAGAAGGACUCCGAGGCUCAAUUGACCCGCUCUUUAAUCUGCCCAUCAUUGUGUUGAGAGAUCAGCAGUGUUUGGAUCAACAAAGUGUGACUACUUUGAUAGUGGCAACUGUAUUUAUGGCUUACUUUUGUGCAUUUAAACUUCAGCCGCCAUUGAUAGUUGUUAAAAGUUGUUAAACCUGUGCAUAUGAAACAAAAACGCCUUUUGU